rnacentral:rRNA from 2 species
UGGGGAAUUGUUCGCAAUGGGCGCAAGCCUGACGACGCAACGCCGCGUGGAGGAUGAAGGUCUUCGGAUUGUAAACUCCUGUUGCCCGGGACGAAAAGCUCCGACCUAACACGUUGGAGUCUGACGGUACCGGGUGAGGAAGCCCCGGCUAACUCUGUGCCAGCAGCCGCGGUAAUACAGAGGGGGCGAGCGUUGUUCGGAAUUACUGGGCGUAAAGGGCGCGUAGGUGGCCUGUUAAGUCGAACGUGAAAUCCCCGGGCUCAACCCGGGAACUGCGUCCGAGACUGGCAGGCUCGAAUCCGGGAGAGGGAUGUGGAAUUCCAGGUGUAGCGGUGAAAUGCGUAGAUAUCUGGAGGAACACCGGUGGCGAAGGCGGCAUCCUGGACCGGUAUUGACGCUGAGGCGCGAAAGCCAGGGGAGCAAACGGGAUUAGAUACCCCGGUAGUCCUGGCCCUAAACGAUGAAUGCUUGGUGUGGCGGGUAUCGAUCCCUGCCGUGCCGAAGCUAACGCAUUUAG